AUAAACUGAUGGAUAGUUUAAUCUACAGCAAUGCAUCAUAUUCUAUGAGAUCAUCAUAUGUUUGUAGCAUCGCUGUCCUGUGAGAACCACGUAUCUCUAAAAAGUCAACGUUUCACAGAAUGACAGCCCUGUUUUCAGUUUUGAGACAAUGCAU